rnacentral:ncRNA from 2 species
UCGCUCGCCACAGGAAACGGUUCUAUCCGCAAGGAUGGAUGAAAAGGGAACACGGUGAGGCUCAUUUGAAGAGCUGAGACCGAGACUGCCCCCGCAACUGUGACCGGCGAGUCAUCCUCCCAUGAUCGUAAGUUGCGAUCAUAGCCACUGAAUAUUCACGUUCGGGAAGGCGGAGGACCGAUGAAGACCCGGAAGUCAGGAGACCUGCCGUAUCCAGUCACCCAUG